rnacentral:rRNA from 1 species
UAAUACGUAGGGGGCAAGCGUUAUCCGGAAUUACUGGGUGUAAAGGGUGAGUAGGCGGCAUGGUAAGUUAGAUGUGAAAGCCCGGGGCUCAACUCCGGGAUUGCAUUUAAAACUACUAAGCUAGAGUACAGGAGAGGUAAGCGGAAUUCCUAGUGUAGCGGUGAAAUGCGUAGAUAUUAGGAAGAACACCGGUGGCGAAGGCGGCUUACUGGACUGAAACUGACGCUGAGGCACGAAAGCGUGGGGAGCAAACAGG